AACGAACGCUGGCGGCAUGCCUAACACAUGCAAGUCAAACGAGAUCUUCGGGUCUAGUGGCGCACGGGUGCGUAACGCGUGGGAAUCUGCCCUUUGGUUCGGAAUAACAGUUGGAAACGACUGCUAAUACCGGAUGAUGACGAAAGUCCAAAGAUUUAUCGCCAGAGGAUGAGCCCGCGUAGGAUUAGCUAGUUGGUGUGGUAAAGGCGCACCCAGGCGACGAUCCUUAGCUGGUCUGAGAGGAUGAUCAGCCACACUGGGACUGAGACACGGCCCAGACUCCUACGUGAAGCAGCAGUGGGGAAUAUUGGAGAAUGGGCGAAAGCCUGAUCCAGCAAUGCCACGUGAGUAAUGAAGGACUUAGGGUUGUAAAGCUCUUUUACCCGGGAUGAUAAUGACAGUACCGGGAGAAUAAGCUCCGGCUAACUCCGUGCCAGCCGCCGCAGUAA
rnacentral:rRNA from 1 species